GGUCUGGUGGCCUAAGUGGUUAGAUUGUCUGCCUUGGAUGCAGGAGGUCAUGGGUUCAAACCUGGCCAUGUUAUGCCA